GGUGCAAACUCAGUUGCAGUUGAUUUUACGUGAAAUUGAUAAUUGAGAGUGGUUAGAUAAUUUAAUUGAUUUGACUAAAAUUUCAUUUAACGACACUCAAUUAUCAAUUUCACAUGAAGUUUCAUUGAACCAGAG